GGCUGAUUCCCAUCUCGCACCAGUCUCUCCGCUUCUCCCUGUCGCUCAACACACCAGCAGGACGAUUAGGUGACGAGUAGGUUACAGCCCAGCAGGUUCAAGUGUUCAAGUCCACCUGACUUCAACUCUGAGUUUCCCGUUACUGUAACUACACGUAUAACCGACACCGUGGUGACUCGCUGCUUUAUGCAUUAUAUUCGCCAGUAAUUGUAUGUAUUCUGUCACAUACUCCAGAAUGAAGGUUUGGCUCUGAGUCCUUCAUUUACGUGCAGUUUAGCCAAGAUCUCAUCGCUGACAUACAUUAGCAAGUCCAGGUAUGUAUUCUGUCACAUACUCCAGAAUGAACACUUUGGAGGUGUGGUGAACAGAAGCAUGAAUGAAUGCCUUUACUGAACCAUUCCUAUAGUUUUCUGCCAUUUUAAAUAUAGUAGACACUAGACCUAGUUUAGAACAACCCAUGAAUACUAAAAUACACUGCUUGUGGAGUGAUUCAUAUGAGUACAUUGUGAAAAAUAAUCACUCGUUUUAAAUAAAUGUGCCAGAUAAUUGCUUUAACCCGGUAGCAGCGACGGGCCAGAUUUGUGCCAUGAUUUUAACCCCAAAAAAUAGAUGAUACAUAAUCUGAUCACAAAUGCUUUGAUAUAUAUUAUGAAAUGGUUUGUGUGAGGGGUGAUUUUUUCUCGUUUUUCUUGCUUAGAGGGACCAUUAAGAAACAUGAUCCCCGCUGCUACCGGGUUAAUGUACACUAUUUAGUAGCGCAUUUAUCUUUUCCUCAUCUGUGUCAAGCAGGGUUUUGUUAUGAUACCAUCUAUGUUACUGAGGAAAGUGGAAACAUCCAUACUGCCUCAUGUCACUGUGAAGUCAUGACAUUUGGGGUUGUCAUGAAUAUAGUUGCUGCUGAAGGAGGAAGGGCGGAGUUCUCUUUGCUUGGCAUGGUGGGGAGUGUUUGUUUAGGAAUGUGCUUUGUGUCACACAACACUCUAUAAUGCAGUGUGUCCUUGAUGGAACUGAAGGCUCCUGUUUUGGUGAUACUUCUCUACUAACUAAACCAUUUCAAAGAGUCCAUUUAGUCGUUUGAUUACACGGGUCCUUUCCUCCCCUCUGCUCUGCCACACAGUCCAACACCUAUUUUUCCCUCUCAUAUGUUACCUAUAGGUAACAUAUGAGAGGAAGGCAUAGGUGUUGGGACUGUGUGGCAGAGCAGAGGGGAGGAAAGGACUUGCUGAAUCGAACACCCAAAUGGACUUUUUGAAAUAGUUUGACAAUAGUAACUGCUUGUCAUUUUUUAGCACAAGGCAUAAAAGUAGAACUAGGAAAAUUAGUGGAGAGAAGGUAGUUUUUGUAAUAUUGGUAAUAUAGAAAAAAUAUUGUUUUCACUUGGGAUAAUGCAAAUAAAUAUUUAACUGCAAACUAAAGAAAUAUAAACCAAGAGAGAAAAAUCAGUCAGCUGACUGGGAUGUAAAGUAUGUGUGUACAGGUCAGGUGACAGGGUGAGGUUAUGCCUGUUGUGGGAUGAUGUCACUUCGAGCUGUGAAAAUAAUAUUUAAUAAUCACUAAAGUAUUGUAACUGGUUAAUUAAUUUUACUGAAGAUAAUUUGUUACACAAAAUAAAGGGAAAAGGAAAUAUUAUCUCUGAUAAAUGAAUACUGUUGAGCUGAGUAGUUCCUCACAAGCCCAGCCUAAGAGGGUCAAGCAGAGGGUCUGGUGGAGGUCAGGGUAGUGAAGCUGCUGCAAGAGGUGUUAGCAGGUUGUGGUGGGCCUCCUCUCUGUAGCUUGUAAGCAUGGAGUUAUGGGCAGGUGACUUGCUUGCUUUGUAGGGACGUCUUGGAUUGUGGGGGCUUCAAACUUUAGUUGGCUUGCUUCUUGGUUCAGCUUGGCUUUAUAAUGUCUGGCUGUGGAUGGGAUGGCAGGCUGGUGGGCAGACCACGUGAGUAGCUGGUUGACUGGCUGGCAGGCUGAGUGCUGUGGCUAGGCUGGCUGUCUGGAUAAGGGAUUGGCUGUUGUGCUUCUUGUGUUGUGUCUAGUGAUGGACAAGCUGCUGAGUUAGGGCCACUUUCACAGUCAUUUUGUUUGUUUUGAUCGUUACCAAUGGCGGCGAUCACCACUAUAGUAAUUCCACGUAAAACUGGCUGCGCGGGGUUAGCCUAGCCCCGCACCUUACUACACACUCUCAACACCUCUCGCUUCCUCUGCAGCUGCCACUACCCCAUCGGCCAGUUUCACGUGGAAAACUAUAGCGUCGAUCACCACCAUUGGUAACGAUCAAAACAAACAAAGUGACUGUGACAGCAGCCCUUAGUGUUGAUGCGCACAAAAUUCACUUGUAGUUUUGAGGGGGGGCCACACUGCACAGCCUUAUUGUGGGGGGGUUCAGGGAUUUGUGAGUAACAUUUAUUGGUUCGUCCUCUGUAGUAUUGAGUGUUUUUAUUGGAACAGUGGGUCAAGCCGUUUGGAAUUGUUUUUAUGCUUGAAUGCAUCACUGAUAAUGUUUUUUAGUCACAACUCGCUGGAGCACUCAUUAACCCGGUAGCAGCGACGGGCCAAAUUUGUGGCUUUACCGUGUAGCAGCGACGGGCCAAAUUUGUGGCUUCACCGUGUAGCAGCGACGGGCCAAAUUUGUGGCUUUACCGUGUAGCAGCAGCAGACCAAAUUUGUGGCUUUACCGUGUAGCA